rnacentral:rRNA from 1 species
GACGAACGCUGGCGGCGUGCUUAACACAUGCAAGUCGAGCGGUAAGGCCCUUUCGGGGGUACACGAGCGGCGAACGGGUGAGUAACACGUGGGUGACCUGCCCUCAGCUCUGGGAUAAGCCUGGGAAACCGGGUCUAAUACUGGAUAUGACUCCAUGACGCAUGUUGUGGGGUGGAAAGCCUUGUGCGGCUGAGGAUGGGCCCGCGGCCUAUCAGCUUGUUGGUGGGGUGAUGGCCUACCAAGGCGACGACGGGUAGCCGGCCUGAGAGGGCGACCGGCCACACUGGGACGUGAGACACGGCCCAGACUCCUACGGGAGGCAGCAGUGGGGAAUCUUGCGCAAUGGGCGAAAGCCUGACGCAGCGACGCCGCGUGGA